UGUGGCUGGGGGUGAAAGGCCAAUCAAACCGGGAGAUAGCUGGUUCUCCCCGAAAUCUAUUUAGGUAGAGCCUUGAGCGGACACCUUCGGGGGUAGAGCACUGUUUCGGCUAGGGGUCCAUCCCGGAUUACCAACCCGAUGCAAACUACGAAUACCGAAGAGUGAUACUCAGGAGACACACGGCGGGUGCUAACGUCCGUCGUGGAGAGGGAAACAACCCAGACCGCCAGCUAAGGUCCCAAAGUCUAUAUUAAGUGGGAAACGAAGUGGGAAGGCUUAGACAGCUAGGAUGUUGGCUUAGAAGCAGCCAUCAUUUAAAGAAAGCGUAAUAGCUCACUAGUCGAGUCGGCCUGCGCGGAAGAUGUAACGGGGCUCAAAUAUAGCACCGAAGCUGCGGCAUCAGACGAAAGUCUGUUGGGUAGGGGAGCGUUCUGUAAGUGGAUGAAGAUGGCUCGAGAGGGCUGUUGGACGUAUCAGAAGUGCGAAUGCUGACAUAAGUAACGAUAAAACGGGUGAAAAACCCGUUCGCCGGAAGACCAAGGGUUCCUGUCCAACGUUAAUCGGGGCAGGGUGAGUCGGCCCCUAAGGCGAGGCUGAAAAGCGUAGUCGAUGGGAAACGGGUUAAUAUUCCCGUACUUGGAUAAACUGCGAUGUGGGGACGGAGCAGGUUAGGUUAUCGCACUGUUGGAUAUGUGCGUUUAAGUUGGUAGGUGUGAAGUUUAGGCAAAUCCGGACUUCUUUAACACCGAGAGAUGAUGACGAGGCUCUACGGAGCUGAAGUAACCGAUACCACACUUCCAGGAAAAGCCACUAAGCUUCAGGUUUAUCUAAACCGUACUGAAAACCGACACAGGUGGUCAGGUAGAGAAUACUCAGGCGCUUGAGAGAACUCGGGUGAAGGAACUAGGCAAAAUAGCACCGUAACUUCGGGAGAAGGUGCGCCGGCGUAGAUUGUAGUCCCUUGCGGAUGAAGGUUGAACCGGUCGAAGAUACCAGCUGGCUGCAACUGUUUAUUAAAAACACAGCACUCUGCAAACACGAAAGUGGACGUAUAGGGUGUGAUGCCUGCCCGGUGCUGGAAGGUUAAUUGAUGGUGUAAUCGAAAGAGAAGCUCCUGAUCGAAGCCCCAGUAAACGGCGGCCGUAACUAUAACGGUCCUAAGGUAGCGAAAUUCCUUGUCGGGUAAGUUCCGACCUGCACGAAUGGCAUAAUGAUGGCCAGGCUGUCUCCACCCGAGACUCAGUGAAAUUGAAAUCGCCGUGAAGAUGCGGUGUACCCGCGGCUAGACGGAAAGACCCCGUGAACCUUUACUAUAGCUUGACACUGAACAUUGAAUUUUGAUGUGUAGGAUAGGUGGGAGACUUUGAAGAUGAUACGCCAGUAUUGUUGGAGUCGUCCUUGAAAUACCACCCUUUAACGUUUGAUGUUCUAACGAAGAUUACGAAACGUGGUCUCGGACAGUGUCUGGUGGGUAGUUUGACUGGGGCGGUCUCCUCCCAAAGAGUAACGGAGGAGCACGAAGGUUUGCUAAUGACGGUCGGACAUCGUCAGGUUAGUGCAAUGGUAUAAGCAAGCUUAACUGCGAGACAGACAAGUCGAGCAGGUACGAAAGUAGGUCAUAGUGAUCCGGUGGUUCUGAAUGGAAGGGCCAUCGCUCAACGGAUAAAAGGUACUCCGGGGAUAACAGGCUGAUACCGCCCAAGAGUUCAUAUCGACGGCGGUGUUUGGCACCUCGAUGUCGGCUCAUCACAUCCUGGGGCUGAAGUAGGUCCCAAGGGUAUGGCUGUUCGCCAUUUAAAGUGGUACGCGAGCUGGGUUUAGAACGUCGUGAGACAGUUCGGUCCCUAUCUGCCGUGGGCGUUGGAGAAUUGAAAGGGGCUGCUCCUAGUACGAGAGGACCGGAGUGGACGCACCACUGGUGUUCCGGUUGUGUCGCCAGACGCAUUGCCGGGUAGCUAAGUGCGGAAGAGAUAAGUGCUGAAAGCAUCUAAGCACGAAACUUGCCUUGAGAUGAGUUCUCCCUGUCUUUAAGACAGUAAGGGUUGUUUAAGACUAAGACGUAGAUAGGUCUGGUGUGUAAGCGGUGCGAGCCGUUGAGCUAACAGAUACUAAUUGCCCGAGAGGCUUAACUAU
rnacentral:rRNA from 1 species